rnacentral:piRNA from 1 species
ACAUGUAGACAGAACACUGUAUAC